rnacentral:misc_RNA from 1 species
GAUGAAGAACGCAGCGAAAUGCGAUAAGUAAUGUGAAUUGCAGAAUUCAGUGAAUCAUCGAAUCUUUGAACGCACCUUGCACCCUUUGGACUGCUCCAAAGGGUAUGCUCGUUUGAGUGUCAUUGUACUCUCACACUCUCUGAUCCUUUGGAUUUGGGGAGCAGUGGACUUGGGUGCUUGCUGCUUCCUUGUGGCUCACCUGAAAUGCAUCAGUGCAUCUCUCGAUUGGACAUAGUACGGCGUGAUAAGUGUCUUCGCCGGCACGUCAUAUGAGGGUGGCCGAUCGGGAGCUCUGUGCUUUCAAACCGUCUUCGGACAACGCUGACAACUUGACCUCAAAUCGAGUAGGACUACCCGCUGAACUUAAGCAUAUCAAUAAGCGGAGGA